CCUACGGGCGGCAGCAGUGAGGAAUAUUGGUCAAUGGGCGUAAGCCUGAACCAGCCAAGUCGCGUGAGGGAUGAAGGUCCUAUGGAUCGUAAACCUCUUUUAUAAGGGAAUAAAGUGUGGGACGUGUCCUAUUUUGUAUGUACCUUAUGAAUAAGGAUCGGCUAACUCCGUGCCAGCAGCCGCGGUAAUACGGAGGAUCCGAGCGUUAUCCGGAUUUAUUGGGUUUAAAGGGUGCGUAGGCGGCCUUUUAAGUCAGCGGUGAAAGUCUGUGGCUCAACCCUAGAAUUGCCGUUGAAACUGGGGGGCUUGAGUAUGUUUGAGGCAGGCGGAAUGCGUGGUGUAGCGGUGAAAUGCUUAGAUAUCACGCAGAACCCCGAUUGCGAAGGCAGCCUGCCGGGCCAUGACUGACGCUGAGGCACGAAAGCGUGGGGAUCAAACAGGAUUAGAUACCCUUGUAGUC
rnacentral:rRNA from 1 species